UGGCUCAGUGGUAGAGCGCUUGCCUUGCAUGCAUGAGGCGCUGGGUUCGAUUCCCCAG
rnacentral:tRNA from 1 species